rnacentral:rRNA from 1 species
AGAGUUUGAUCAUGGCUCAGGAUGAACGCUAGCUACAGGCUUAACACAUGCAAGUCGAGGGGAAACGACAUCGAAAGCUUGCUUUUGAUGGGCGUCGACCGGCGCACGGGUGAGUAACGCGUAUCCAACCUGCCCACCACUUGGGGAUAACCUUGCGAAAGUAAGACUAAUACCCAAUGAUAUCUCUAGAAGACAUCUGAAAGAGAUUAAAGAUUUAUCGGUGAUGGAUGGGGAUGCGUCUGAUUAGCUUGGUUGGCGGGGUAACGGCCACCAAGGCGACGAUCAGUAGGGGUUCUGAGAGGAGUCCCCANAUUGGAACUGAGACACAGUCCAAACUCCUACGGGAGGCA